AUGAAAAAGAAUGGGCUGUGGGUGGAAGAGAGGAAUAGGAUGAAGGGAAUGGCUUACGGUGAUGCUAGCGGAUUGACGGGGGCGGUGAGUUCAAUACCGAUGAAGGAUUCUUCGAAGCAGAUCUUGGAUAAUAGGCCAUCGUCAAUGGACUUGGGGCAAAUUUCUUCAUCGUUUAAGAGAAUUUUGCACUCGGUCUGGGUUACCAGGGAGGUUCAAAACUGUUUCAUUGUUGAUGAUAUUACGGUUGCUGCUACUACUAGAACUCUGGCUAUAGCGUGGUGA